UACGGGGGGGGCAAGCGUUGUUCGGAAUUACUGGGCGUAAAGGGCUCGUAGGCGGCCAACUAAGUCAGACGUGAAAUCCCUCGGCUUAACCGGGGAACUGCGUCUGAUACUGGUUGGCUUGAGUUUGGGAGAGGGAUGCGGAAUUCCAGGUGUAGCGGUGAAAUGCGUAGAUAUCAGGAGGAACACCUGCGGUGUAGACGGCUGGCUGGACCACUACUGACGCUGAGGCACGAAAGCGUGGGGAGCAAACAGG
rnacentral:rRNA from 1 species